rnacentral:rRNA from 1 species
GACGAACGCUGGCGGCGUGCUUAACACAUGCAAGUCGAACGGUAAGGCCCCAGCGUGCUGGGGUACACGAGUGGCGAACGGGUGAGUAACACGUGGGUGACCUGCCCCGCACUUCGGGAUAAGCCUGGGAAACUGGGCCUAAUACCGGAUAGGACCGCACCGUGAGGGUGUGGUGGAAAGUUGUUCGGGGUGGGAUGGGUCCGCGGCCUAUCAGCUUGUUGGUGGGUUAAUGGCCUACCAAGGCGGCGACGGGUAGCCGGCCUGAGAGGGUGGACGGCCACAUUGCGACUGAGACACGGCCCAGACUCCUACGGGAGGCAGCAGUGGGGAGUAUUGCACAAUGGGCGGAAGCCUGAUGCAGCGACGCCGCGUGGGGGAUGACGGCCUUCGGGUUAAAAACUCCUUUCACCAUCGACGAAGGUUUUCUGACGGUAGAUGGAGAAGAAGCACCGGCUAACUACGUG